CUGUCAUAUCACCUUGAAUCACCGACUUCCGUACCGUCAUCGAAAUUAAGCAACGUUGGGCCUGGUCAGUACCUAGAUUGGUGACCGCUUGGAAAUACUUAGUGCUGUAAG